rnacentral:lncRNA from 1 species
CUCCCGGCUGCGCCCCAGCCUCCGCUCCGCCUCCAGCCCUCCCUGCCAGCCCAGCGCCCGGGAAGCGCGUGCCGGGUGUCCGGUGCGAGCCCGAGGGGCUGCGAGUCACCUGAGGAUCCCCCGAGAGCCUGGAGACGGCCAGGCCCGAACGUCUCUGGGGACGCGACGGAGUCCUGGGUCCUUUCAGGCCGGCUCGGUGCGGUGGCCGAGCCAGCUGCGUGGAGAGAGGCGGAGGACGUUGUUCCAGCUGCUCUCUGCCCGGCUCCGGGUUCCAAGGAUGUUUCCUGAGUAAACGGGGACCCCCCCCCCUCCUCUGCGCCCUCCGGGUUGGGGCUCUGCCAGGCCCUGUACACCGGGAGAUAGGACACUUGGAUUCGAACCCGUAGCAGAGGUGUAAUUUCAUUCGAAGUUACCUCCCCAGCCAGGUCCCCGAAUUUGGGCCACACGCUUAGGCUGCAGGCGGCUUUCGGGCCAGUACCCUAAGACCAGAGACUUUCAACUCCUGACUUCUCACCUCCACCUGCUCCUCAAGAUCAGUCAGUUUUGGUGUGCAGAGUCCUGUGCCAGCCACUAAAUCUGCUCUCUUGUGAUUGGUGUUCACCCAGUCCUCCAAGCCAAUACAUCUCCAACAGAACUGCUAGGGACAUCAGAUGCUGUACCACACUGGAGUUUGUUUUGGAAGAGUGACAUUCUGAGCACAAAGGUUAAGUCCAUUAUCCUCAUGGUGGCACGCAGGCAGACCUGGUGCUGGAGAAGUUGCUGAGAGUCGAACAUCUUGACCUUCAAUCAACAGGAAGAAAACUGAGACAUGUUUGUAGAAAUCUAUUAAGGCAACAAUAGAGAAAUGCAAUCCAGAAUCUACUAUGAGCACUGUGGUCCAUGCCUCUUCACCUUUGGCUCUCAGCACCUCAUGUGGGAUUAACGUUAACAACAGUGAAAAGACGACCAAAGGAGCAUCUCAAGGACAGAAGUACUGAGCCAUGAGGUUUCUUAUUGUGCAGUUUUACCAGAAGCUUUAAUCUGGUUCUCUCAAAGGCUGCUUUCCACAAGUGUUUCCUCACAAUCUAAACCGGGUUUCAGCUGAGAUACUCAGCCACUUAUUACUGUCUACACAAUAAAUGCAAAUUCUUGGCACUUUUUGAAGAUCCUCAUAUUUACUUUUCUCAAAAGCUCUUUGUGCUAGGUCAGCCAGUUUCUGCAUUGUUGUCUGUUUCUCAUUCUUUAAUCCAUGUAUUCCUCUUUGCCCUUGGGAUUUUGUUACUUAAACUUCCCUGCCUAGAAUCCAUCCCUUGUCUCUCUGCACCUAAAUAGGAGUGGUUCUCCGGAAGUCACAUUGGUACCCACCCUUUCCUGUGGUUCAUACCCUGCUCAUUUCAUGGGCGUGUCUCACAGCUUCCCAGCACCAUCCAUGCCAUUCAUCAUAGGUGACAGCAAGACUGGG